GGCGCCCGAGCAGAAGCCGGCCGACACGUCCAGCUGCGGCCGCCAGCAGAAGCGAUACACGUAUUCGAGUCGUCGGGGAUUCUGCGUUCCGUUCACAUACACGGGUUGCACUGAAACAAGCAAUAACUUCAUGACCAGGGAGGAGUGCAGGGAUACAUGCCAACCGAGAGACCAGUGCACACAGCGGCAGGAGUCGGGCCGCUGCGACGGCCGACUGGCGAGGUUUGCGUACGACCCGGCGGCCAACCGCUGCCGCCGCUUCACCUACUCGGGCUGCGGCGGUAAC